rnacentral:rRNA from 1 species
GAUGAACGCUGGCGGCGUGCCUAAUACAUGCAAGUCGAGCGAACAGACGAGGAGCUUGCUCCUCUGACGUUAGCGGCGGACGGGUGAGUAACACGUGGAUAACCUACCUAUAAGACUGGGAUAACUUCGGGAAACCGGAGCUAAUACCGGAUAAUAUAUUGAACCGCAUGGUUCAAUAGUGGAAGACGGCUUUGCUGGCACUUAUAGAUGGAUCCGCGCCGCAUUAGCUAGUUGGUAAGGUAACGGCUUACCAAGGCAACGAUGCGUAGCCGACCUGAGAGGGUGAUCGGCCACACUGGAACUGAGACACGGUCCAGACUCCUACGGGAGGCAGCAGUAGGGAAUCUUCCGCAAUGGGCGAAAGCUUGACGGAGCAACGCCGCGUGAGUGAUGAAGGUCUUCGGAUCGUAAAGCUCUGUUAUUAGGGAAGAACAAAUGUGUAAGUAACUAUGCACGUCUUGACGGUACCUAAUCAGAAAGCCACGGCUAACUACGUG